GUGGGAUUCUCUUUCUGUUGUGGGUUUUUUUUUUUUUUUUUAAAUAUUUACAGCUCAUGCUCUCAAACUCUUUGGAAAACCAGCAGUUUGCUUUUAUUAAAUUGGGACCACCGUGUGAAGCAGCAAUGUUCCCACCACCGGAGUUUUCCUUUUCGGUCCUGCCAGUCCUGCUGCUGAAGCUGACUUUUGGUGCCUACCAGAAGUUGCACUGCUGCAGGAACAAGCGCAUCAGCAGCCAAAGGUUACCCCCUGCAGUAAAUCUAAAGCUACUGCAGGUGUAACGUGAACAAGGUUUCAUUUAUUGGUGUAGAUUUUCAUGUUAAAAAAAAAGAAAAAAAGAAAAAAAAAAGAAGGAAAAAAGCUACCGAGUUCAUCACAGCCAGAGUGGGAUUGUUAAGGGCAUAAGGGGAUCCGCAAUUAUUAGCACUUUUCUUCCUCCCGAGAGCCAGCUGGAAGAUGCCCUGGGGAGAUUCGUUAGAGGCUCCCAUUGCAGUGACUGCCGGCACCGGUCAGCCCCAGCCACGGUUUCGUCCCUCACCCGCGAUGCUGCACGCGUGAGCUGCCCAGCAGGGAACCGCUGCGGCCCCCCGGAGCGUGCUGCUGAGACCGGCGCACUCGGCACACGUGGUGGCCGGCACCGGCUGCAGAAUGGAAAGUCUUUCCCCCUGCCAAGUCCCUGUUAGACAGACGCUGCAGUACCGCACACGUUACAAAGAGCUUCUGGAUGGAUCUACGCUGAUGGAUCCAGCACCUGUAGGACCUGCUUUCCCAGUGCACAAGCAGAGCCUGCCCAGGAUCAGUCAGGGCCGUGGUCAGGGUGGCAGCGCUGGCCUGCAGGAUGCCUGCUGUGCUGCCUGCGGAUUUGGACCAUCCCUCUUGGAGGAGGCAGGAUGGACCUGGUGGGAGGACGAGGAUGUGUCUGUGUCCAGACCAUGGAGUCCCUCUGGGGUGUUGGACUGCAAGUGGCCAUUAAAUAUGUUUUCUUCAUUUUUCUGGAUGCUUGCUGAAGACCUGAAAGUUUCAUUUGCAGAAGCGCCAAGUGCCUGCAGCUUUGACAGAAGUCGGUAGGAGCAUUUUUGAACAUGCAGAGGGCUUCACAGGGCCAAGAACCCCGAAAACUCAGGUCUUGGGGCUUUUCACUUACUUGGGCCCCUGAAACUAAUGGCUAUUGGGACCUCCGUUUUUGAGUGCCGUGGUCCACAAAGCGAGGUGGCACCAGCCCCUCACCUCCGUGGGCUGUUGUUAAAACAGAUGCUCUAAUGCUUGGGGAGAGCUUGGCUGCGUUAGCGGGGUGCUCCGGAGAAAACCCCAGGAGAAAAGAGACGGUGAUGAACUCAAGCUGAGCAAGGACUGUUCAGACUGGGGUGUUUCUGUAUCUUUUUAUUUCUACUGUUGGCUGAAAAUUUUUGGCUAAGAUGUGAAUAAAAAGCAUCGUUGUUUUUUUCUUCUAACCUGG
rnacentral:lncRNA from 1 species